CUCCUCCCUGUGCUCAGAUGGUUUGAGUUUAUAAAAGCUCCCAGAAGGGGGAAGACAAAGAGAGGAAGAGGAGGGUGAUGUGUUUUGUUGCCUCUGAAGCUGGGGAAUCAGCCAAGAGGCCUUAGAGAAAACAAACAGAAACAAAUAAAAAAAAACAGUCUAAGGUAGAGGAAAACAGAAAUGGGAACUAAACCUGCCUCUGACUUCAGACCUGUGUUUUGGUUUGGUUUUUUUAAGGCUUUGGGAAACUGUAAAAAGCAGAAUCACUGCUUCCCAAACACAGUAAUUGUGAAGACCAGACAUCCCUUUGACAAGGAGUAGCUGCAAGUUUAAGGAAAAACACUGCAUCUUCUCUUGUCAUGGGAAAAAGCUAUAGGAGAAGAAAACCUGACAAUAGACAGAAGGAUUUCAUGCUGUUAUUGAAGACAGAGGAAAAGCAAGAAAGGAAAUAGAUUCAGUUUGGUCAUUGAGGUUGGAUCAGAUCUCCUGCAAGAGAGGGAUAAAAGUGGUGAGGACUGAGAAAAGCAAGUCUCAGGAAAAGGAAGGUUUUGCUGGGAAUAUAUCAGAAGUUCUAGACGUGAAGUUGAGCAGCUGGCUGAGCAGAGGGGAUGUGCACACACAGCAUCAAACAUUGCUGCACUCAUGCUUUGAAGGGGAAAGGAAAACAACCAAGAGCAAGAAACACAGGGAGGCUCAUGGCUCUGGAUGAGGAUUUCUUGGCUGGUUUUACUCUGGGCUUCAUAGCAUUCCUGUGCAGGCAAUCACAUGUAGGCAGCUCAAUCUUCACAUGCUCAGCUGCUGGUUGUCCUUCUGGGAUGGUUCCCAACGGAGGAAAAACUCUGUGGGGAGUGUGUCAGUAGCCCAGCAUUCAACAUGGGCCCAGGGGUGCUUGUAAAGCAUCAUUCCCUCCCUGGCAAAGCCAAGUGAGGAGGCUGAAGUAAAGCCCCAAACCAUCAGGUGAAUAUGACACUGUGCUUAGCAAAGAGGGCAAGAGGAAAAUGCUUGAUGUCUUGUUGGUCCACUGAAAGUUAAAAUUGGCAGCAAAGACAUCAAAGCAGGUGUGAGGAUGCUACUGCAAGAUUUGCCAAGGUCUCCUGUGUUCCUGUCUGAUGCUGGGAGCCAGGGCAGGGAGAGGCUGCAAGCACAGCCUGUUUAAUAUUCUCUCUGUCCCUCUGAUCUCCCCCCUACCCUGCAGAAGCAACAUGUCCCCUGUUUCUGCAGAGCUUGUCCUGAGCAAUAGCAGCAUCUGUCAGGGGUUAUGGUGGCAUUAGCCUCAUGGAGCUGGGAGUUAGCAGUGCUUGGCAGAGUGACAGUUCUGCUGUACCUUACAUAAAUCUGUAUCUUGCAUAAAUCUGUCUCUGCCUACUCUGCCAAGGUGUGUGGUCACAAUUUGUCUCAUUCUUCCUGCUGUCCACAAGGGCUUUGAGUUUCUUAGAAGAUUAUAUUUGCUUGAAACUCUUCUCCUUCAUCUUUCUUCACAUCCCUCCCUCCACACCCUUUCACUUGUAUCCUUCCCACAAAGUCCAAAAAGGGACAUAUCUUAAACAGGUGCUUAUUUUCAAAUUCCCAUCACCUGCCUCUCACAGGAGCUGCAGAAAUCUCCCUGUAUUCCUAUGGAAUUGAAUUCCUUGAACCUCCCUGUGGCUUUGGCAGCAAACCCCAGAAGCCUCCUCCUGCUAACUCAAGCUCUGGGCUGUGCCUGAUCCUGGGUAGCUACGAGGUUCCUACCUUGUUCCUCAGUAUUUCAUGGUAUUUUGUUGCCUCUCAUCUGCUUUUCUUGAGCCUUCUGGGGCUAGAAAGUAAUAACAACCUCAGUUCUUUGCUGUCUUUAGGUGUCUAAGGAAAUUCCUCAGGAAAACAAGAAAACCCUUAUUAAAUGGUUUAUAUUAUAUCCCCACCCAUAAUUCUUCCAAGUGUUUUCAAACAAAGCACCUGAAAAGAGAAUGUUGACCUCUUGAGAGAGUCUCUGGUCACAUCAGGCUUGGCCUGAGCCACUCUCUUGUCCCCAGCUCUGCUCAGGGACCUGAUGGGAGCUCUCUGCUGUGUGACCUGUGGGGAGGGUCCAUGGCCAGUGAUCUCCUGUGUCACUUUGCCACAUCCACCUGCCACCAGUUGCUUCACUGUGUCAGGGCUGUAACAAAGACCUUCUCUGAGCAUUGUGCCAGAGGCCAGCACAACAUUCCUGUUGGUCUGCAGGGCCAGGUACUUGCUAUGAAUUGUCAAAAAAAAAAUACAGCAGUUCCAAAGGAGCAUGUGAUCUGUCAGGUAAACUCAUUGCAGCUCUCAGUGAGUCUCCACUGAGAUAGAUGUCCUCAGGUGCUCAGAUGGAGGUACUUGAGUGUAAGGCUACUUAGUGCUGCUGUUAUUUAUGAUUGUUUGGUGUCUUGUGCUGGUGAGCAGUGAAGGUGGCACACUCUUCUACCACAGGUUAUCCAGGGGGGAAAAAAAUAAUCCCACUUUGCAUUCUAGCAUCCUGUUAUAUACAUCCUGAGCUCUUAAAAUGGAAGUUUGUUUUGUCUCCAAGCCCUUUUUCUUUUGUACGCAGACAUAAGAGCUGUAAUACCAAGUGAAUGGUACGUACUAAGUCUAUACAAUGGCUCUUUAAAAAAAAUAAUUGCAUAUGGUACAAGAGGGAGAGGAAACCACUCCAUUCCUGUAAAUGGCCACUUAAGACGUGGAGAAUAAAUAACUGCAAUAAAUAAUCUGGCA
ensembl:lncRNA